ensembl:lncRNA LOC102549789 uncharacterized LOC102549789
UGAGUGUAUGCCAAUCGAUGAGUCAUGUCUAAAUAUUUGUUUUUGAGACAGGACUUGUUUAGUCUUACAAAAAAUAUAUACAUACAUAGUUUAAUGAAAGAUUUUCUAUGUGGACUGACAAGAGCCAUAAACUAACCAAGGCCUUAGCGCCAGGUAUGAGAAUCUAUUUUUGAAUUCUUGGCUGCUGUUGUCCAAGAGACUUCCAAAACAUUUUGGGUUAUUUAUGUUGCUAUUGGUUACCCCAAAGGUGGACAUUGAUAAGUCCCAUGAAGACAUCAAGCACUUCAGACACAGGACCAGAGGAUUUGAACUAUAUGCAACCUGAAAGCCUCAUUCCUGAGGACCACCUUGCAUAAUAUGAGAAAGUGCCACAUGUACUUCCAAAGGAGAGAAGAAGCAACAGUCCUUCCUAGACCCAGCUGUACAUCCUGUGCACUGCAACAAUGACCAGAAUGGCAAGCGUGCCCUAUGGGUAUGGUACUGAUACACAUUCCUUGUUGGUGGCCAUGCGAUGGCAUCAUAGGUUGCUGCAGAUGGUUUCAAUGGUUCUGUUGGAUGUUCUUCAUCUGUGCCUGCAAGAGGCGCCCAAGGCUUUAUGUAUGGCCAUUGCUAUGACCUAGUGUGAUGCUCUACUUUCCCGCUGAACUUUACUUGCUAGAACUGAGGAGCUUGGCUAUAAUUUAGCCUUUUCUUUUUGUAUUUAGCUGUUGUUGAGGAAGGAGCUUUGGGAAUAGAAGUAACCAGGCAGCAGGUCCAUUUUCACUGUUGAAGGCAGCUGAAAACUCAUCCCUACUGAUGAUUCCUGGUUGCUGCCGCUGCAGAGAGCCCGUGGGGAGCACCCCAGGAGCGAACCUGAGCCUCGGGACCACAGAUCAACUAACCACAAAUGGAAUUUCAAAGAAGAUUCUAUAUAAGUUUUCACCUUGAAAUGUUUUAUCAUUUCAAACUAAGAAGUUUGGAUUUUAUCCUGAGAUUUUAUCACAUAACUGUGACAAUUCCAGAUCAGAGAGAAGAAAAUAAUGCUGGAGACAUUGACACAUAGGUGAGAGGUGAAAGUAAAUUGAACUAGGGUGGAUGGCAGGAAUAGAGAGAAGUAGAGAUAUUCAUAGGACAGAAGAACCAGGGUCUUAUGACUGGUCUGCUACAUGAGGAGCAGGAAUGAAGGUUGAUUAGGAUCUAAGGCAGAGAGCUUUUUUUUUUUUUUUUUUUUUUUGAUUCUUUUUUUCGGAG